UCUAAAUCUAAACACUUCUGUCUUCUUCUGUUCCCGCUGCUCAUCAUGACCUUCAGCCAAAAGCAAAAACCCAUCGCUGCUCGUCGUGACCUUCAGCCACAGGCUCGAGUCGUGACCUUCAGCCACACUUCUGUCUUCUUCUGUCCCCUAUGCUCGUCGUUGCCGCUGCAAGCUCGUCGCCGCCGCUGCUCGUCAGUCGUCACCAAGUUUACGGUCUAUUUGGAGCUUUUGGUUUGCAUUGAAGCAUGUCUCCAAGAGCCUGACCUGAUCUUGGGUUAGCCGUUUUCUGCUUAGUUUCGAUGGCUGUCGGUUUCCUGAACUGAACUGAAGAUCCAUUUCUGGCUUUUACAGGUGGUGUUUGAGAUUAUUGAACUUUUGGGAAAGGUGGAGAGAGCUUGAAGCUUGCUCUCUUAUAGACUUGUAUGAAAAAGUGGCUUGGGUAAUUGCUUGAAUCUUGAUGAUUAUGCCAGUGAUAGCCCAUAGUCAAAACUAAGGGGCUGUCAUCGGGAGCUCCUUUCCUUCACUCUCGAUCGCCUUCACAAGGUAAAAAAAAAAACAAGUUUUGGUUUCAAUCGAAGCUCUUCAGUGAUGGAAGCGGAAUGAUAUUGUUAUUUCUUGUAAUUGAAACUUUGAAAGGAACCGGAACUUCUUCGAGUAGAUGCGGAGAGAAUACAGAGGCAAAUGCAAGAUUUUGUGAUAUUUAAUUUUUUUUUUUCACUUUGGUUUUGUUCACUCAAUUUUAACAAUCAUGUUCCUGCUCCACGAAGUUGUUCUGAGCGUUGAGUUUGAUUUUUUGAAACAAACAUUUCCAAUUUUAACAAUCAUGCGGUUAAACUUUGCCGCUGAAAUGUUUGUACCUGUGUUUUAUGUUUAUGUUUUUCAUUAGGUGGGUUUUAUGGGAUUAUCAGUCUGGAAGGCUGCUUAAAUUAUACAAAGGAAAUCCAAUUGAUGAAUUUGUGUACUGUUGGAUUAAUAUUUUCUUCCUCAAAACAUUUUAUCCUUUUAGAAAUUAAUUUAAGGUUUUAAAUUUAAAUAAACCUACCACAAACUUUUAUGUUGGUGGUAGAUUUAUUAAUUUAAGAUUUCAAAUUUAAAAAAGUCCAAAAUAGCUCUAAUAGGCACAUAAUCAAAAUAAUCGAACCGAAUCGAAUCGAAUUAUUUCGAUUAAUCGAGUAUUUAAUUAUUUCGGUAAUUUGAUUAAUCGCAAUUAUGAUUUUAAAAUAAUCGUAAUCGAACGAUUAUAAAAAAUUUGGUAAAAAACCGAAUCGAACCGAACCGCGCCCGCCCCUGGUUUUAGAUGGUGCCAUUAAAAGAAGGGAAAAGGACAUUCAACCCCCCAACGUUUAGGAAAAGGGAUAAAAAACUCCUCAACGUUUCAAAAAGGACAUAUAACCUCCUUUCCGUUAAUA
rnacentral:lncRNA from 1 species